rnacentral:rRNA from 1 species
AAUCAACGCUGGCGGCGUGCCUAACACAUGCAAGUCGCACGAGAAAGGGUAGCAAUACCUGAGUACAGUGGCGCACGGGUGAGUAACACGUGAAUCAUCUACCUUCGAGUGGGGAAUAACUGAGAGAAAUCUUAGCUAAUACCGCAUAAUACCUACGGGUCAAAGCAGCAAUGCGCUUGAAGAGGAGUUCGCGGCAGAUUAGUUAGUUGGCGGGGUAAUGGCCCACCAAGACGAUGAUCUGUAUCCGGCCUGAGAGGGCGCACGGACACACUGGAACUGAAACACGGUCCAGACUCCUACGGGAGGCAGCAGUGGGGAAUUUUGCGCAAUGGGGGAAACCCUGACGCAGCAACGCCGCGUGGAGGAUGAAAUCCCUUGGGAUGUAAACUCCUUUCGAUAGGGAAGAUAAUGACGGUACCUAUAGAAGAAGCCCCGGCUAACUUCGUGCC